rnacentral:rRNA from 1 species
UGGGGAAUUUUGGACAAUGGGCGCAAGCCUGAUCCAGCCAUGCCGCGUGCAGGAUGAAGGCCUUCGGGUUGUAAACUGCUUUUGUACGGAACGAAAAGGUGCCUUCUCAUAAAGGGCGCUCAUGACGGUACCGUAAGAAUAAGCACCGGCUAACUACGUGCCAGCAGCCGCGGUAAUACGUAGGGUGCGCGCGUUAAUCGGAAUUACUGGGCGUAAAGCGUGCGCAGGCGGUUUUGUAAGACAGAGGUGAAAUCCCCGGGCUCAAC